AGUCGAAUUUAAUUUUCCACGCGGAAACCUUCGUUCAGAAUCUCGAGAACGAUCUUCUUGGUUAAAUUUUCGACAAAUCGUAAAAUUUUAGACCGAUCACUUUUCACCUGGGAGGAUAGAAUAACUUUUAGAUCUCGACUUACUGUCUCUGAUAAUCUUUCUGAAACUUUUAUAACGUUAUCGGAUAAUGGAUUUUCGUUGUAUCGGGAAUUUAACGUUACAUAUUCAUGAUAGAUACGCGGAAAAGUUUCAAUAAUCGAAACUUUCGAUCUCUCUCGUCACGUUCCAGAUCCCUCUCCGAGUUUCUCCCGUUCACCGAGGAAGGAUUAAUUAUCAGUUUAAAGAAGAGUUGGCUUGAAAUUGAACGAAGGAAGCUUUCUCCACUUCCAUCGACCACUAUGAUCAUUAACAUGGAAGGUUUGCAAUUUGGAAAAUUGAUGGGAUAUCAAAUCUCACGCAACCGCACUAUGCUUUGCCCGCGAGAGUAAAACGAGGCCUUCCUUCCCCUCCCUUUGAAGGAAUUCGCUGAUUACGUUGCUGAUUACGAAGCAAUUAAGGGAUCGAGGAUGUCUAAUCCGUGUAUACAACGUCUAGCACGUGGGUAUCCAAGGAUUUUAACGAGAAUUCGAUUUUUGAGAUUUUUUACAAUUGAUGAAGCUACAAAUUGGACCAGAAGUAACCUGAUUUAUUGAAACGAAUUCACGGAGAUAUACAUCGUGAAUAUCGUUAUUCUUUCUGUUCAACGAGUUAAUUGGAACGUUAUAUUCGUUACCUUCAUCAAGUUAAUUCUACCACGAAUUGACACGACAUACAAUAUUCCAAAAAUUCAUUAAAUUUAUGCACAUACGAGAAUAUUCUUAUUACGCGUUAAACGCGUAAUAAAAAUUUUUUCCAUCAUUCUUAAUUUCAACAAAUUCUAACAUUUUUUUUUUAUUUUUAAUUUUCAUAUAAAAAUCUAUAUUUAUAAUGUAACAACGGACAUAUAUUUAUUCCAAGCAACUAAAGAAUUAAAAUUACAUUAAUAAUCUGAAUAUUUCUAAGUA